AUGUGGCCAUGUGGCCGCCCAAGCACAGAGGACUUCACAAGAAUCAAUAGAAAUGUGCCCACCUCGGGGAUGGGAAUGGGACUGUCAGUGGUGAUGCAGCAAAGGCCCAAGGAGCCGGCUGUGUUCAUUUUUGGUCAUUUCAUUACUCAAAAGGGUAAAAGGGAAAGGAUGGGUUCCCAGUUGCAAAUCAAAGACCCCCCUCCUGGCUGUUCAGAGAAGGAAUUCAUUGGCAACAUAUUGGGUAGCUCAUGGGAUCCACGGGAAAGCUGCACAACUAGGCAUGGACCAUGGGGGUCUGUGCAGGGCGAGCCUGGCAGUGAAGGUCAUACCGCAGGAGCAAUCUGGUCAGCAUAUCACCAUUGGUGCUGCCCCCACAGCAUGGCUCUGGACGUCAGUACCACCAUCCCCACGGCAACCACAGGUCAUGUCUAUGUUCUUUCCAGAGUCCCAAUCGGGAGCAUUCAAUCAGCCCGGCCCAGGUCACACAACCACAUGAGAGCUGCCAGUGAAUGGAGAAGAUCCCAUCACCCUGGCCCAGGUCACACAACCACAUGGGAGCUGCCAGUGGAUGGAGAACAUCCCAUCAGCCUGGCCCAGGUCACACAGCCACAUGGGGGCCGCCAGUGGAUGGAGAAGAUCCCAUCACCCUGGCCCAGGUCACACAUCCACAUGGGAGCUGCCAGUGGAUGGAGAAGAUCCCAUCAGCCCGGCCCAGGUCAGACAUCCACAUGGGAGCUGCCAGUGGAGGGAGAACAUCCCGUCAGCCUGGCCCAGGUCACACAUCCACAUGGGAGCUGCCAGUGGAUGGAGAAGAUCCCAUCAGCCCGGCCCAGGUCACACAACCACUUGGGGGCCGCCAGUGGAGGGAGAAGAUCCCAUCAGCCCGGCCCAGGUCAGACAUCCACAUGGGAGCUGCCAGUGGAGGGAGAAGAGCACUGUUCGUCAACUUCUGGCUCCUGUGGUAAGAGGUGGUGUCCUGUGUCCCUCCAAGAUGCAUGUUCUGGAAGGUUGAUUCCCAAAUAA
rnacentral:lncRNA from 12 species